UGGAAGUAUACUGGAGGAUGACGUGGUCAAAUUUGGGAUUAAUUGGAGGAAGUUUGGCGCAUGAAAUGAUGAGUUAAACAUGAAUUAGGGGCUUAAAAAGGAGGGUUAGGACUGUUUUGUGAUAAACCAGGGACCUUUUUGUAAAUGUUGGACCUAUUUGUAAUUACUUUUAGCGGUGGAGGGGCUUAUCUGCGAAUAGGUUUAUGAGAGUGGUGGUAGAACUUAUUCGCGAAUAGGAAGAAAGAGGGGGUCAGAUCGAAAUUUUGGGGCAUCUUAUCUUCUUCUCCCCAGGAACAGAGGGAGGGGAGUGAGAAGGAGAUGGGGCCAGUGGCGGCCGGCCGGCCGGGGCCUCACUGGCGACGCCGAGGGUCGGGGGAAGGUGGAGGGAGUCAAGGGGGUCUCAUUUGGCCCAUUACCGUGGGGAAUUGCAGGUGGAAGAGGGGCGGUUGGUGGUAGCCCGAGCGACGGCGGCGCACGGGGCGACGCGUGGAAGGGGCGGCGCACGGGCGGUGAGCUGGGGACGGAGGAACCAAGGGCAGCGAGGUGAGGUGGUGGUGCAGUGGCAAGAGAGGCCGGGCGGGCAGCCCUUUUAUAGGCCGGCGGUGGCGUGAUGGCCGGCAACAAG
rnacentral:lncRNA from 1 species